CUGACAUCACUGGACAACAGAAAGUGAAACUAACUUGAUCAACAACAAAACACCUGAAAUGAUCAACGAAAUAUUUUUUGAGCCGUAAAAAGACCCCUGUGGACACAUCUGAAACUCACAGGCUUGAAGAGGGAAAGAACAAUGGCAGAAUCUUUACCAACAUCAACAAAAGCAAGAGAAACCAACAGAUCGAGUCAAGGUAAAUCUCCAUGCUUGAAGAGGGAAAGAACAAUGGCAGAAUCUUCACCAACAAAGAAAGCAAGAAAAUUGAGGAGACGGAGUAGUGAAGAACCUCCACGUAAGUCAAUAACCCAGUAAAUGUGACCCUGGAACACAAAAGCUCUACACAAUUAGCUGAAACAUUCUACUG